rnacentral:rRNA from 1 species
AUGGCAGGCACCGCCAUCGCCACCAAACAACCAUCUUCGCCCACUGCAGCGAAGUCAAAUGAUGGUUCCAGCAAAAAACAAAAAUGGUUCCAGGGUUUAUGUAGCAAAAAAAUCAUGGCAGCAACACAACAUCAUCUCUCUCAGUUUGUAGCAAAAACGAAAGAAGAUUCCAGCAAAAAAAGAAGUGGUUCCAGCAAAAAAAUUGAUGCAGCAAAAAAAACCAUGGCGGCCACCGCCGUUGCCGCCCACCACCAUCGUCAGCGGCGAAUCCCCCAGCCGGUCCCGAGCACCGCACCUCAUCGGUGCCGCACGCAACGACGCCCCACCCCCCUCUUUGCACGCGCGGUGGUGGGGCCUCCCAAAAUAGCGCCUAUUUGCGGGGAUGCUGCUGCGGGAUGGACGGCGGGCAGGCUGGCGUGGGAUCAACGGCGGCCAUCACCGGCAAGAACUGUUCUGAAGGCUGCCGCAGGGGAACAAGAGGUGAGGAGAUAA